CCUGGUGGCUCAGCGGUUAAAGCAUCUGCCUGCAAUGCGGGAGACCUGGGUUCGAUCCCUGGGUCAGGA
rnacentral:tRNA from 1 species